GGCCGGAUGCCCGAGCGGACUAAGGGAGCGGAUUGCAAAUCCGCGAUUCGUGGGUUCGAAUCCCACUCCGGCCU
rnacentral:tRNA from 1 species